UUUUUUUUUGUGGUAUUAAGUUCGAAUUGGUCAAAAAUGUUAGAAGAAGAUGUACAAAAUACAAAUUCUAUCCAAGUGUAUUCAAAACUAUUUGUUCAAUAUCUACUAAGCGACGAUUUAUUUAAUGCUAGGUUACUAAUUAAAAGAUUACCAAAUGAUAUCAAAUCAAAUAAAGAUCUUCAGCAAUUGACCUUAAUAAGUAAUAAAUUAUGGAACCAAGACUAUGACAAUGUAUUAAGACUGUAUGAACACAAUUGGCAAAUGAUUGCAGAUGAUGUAGAUUUAUUAAGGAAUCAUACUCAAUCUAUCAUAUUGGAUAUUUUAACUAAAUGUUACUUUAACAUGAAAAUUCAAACUUUGACACAACUAUUGAAUCAAAGUAAUGAUGAAGUGCUAAAAUUAAUCAAGAGAGAAAAUUGGCAUUAUAACCCUAAACUUGGAAUUGUUUAUAUUAAUGAAAGAAUACCAAAAUCUUUACCAAUGAUGAAGCUCGAUGACAGCAAUUUGAAAAAUUUAAUUAAUUCUAUCUCAUUUUUUGAAAAUUAAAAUUCACAAUAUUUUAUUAUAACAAUAAAUUUUUAACACCUUUUGAAUAUUUAAAUAAUGUUGACUGGAAUUUGAUAAGGAUAGGUCUAGGUCAAGAAACAAAUUUAAUUUAUUUGAUGAAUAUGAAUAAUUUAGCAUUAAACCAUGAAAAGAUAUCAGGAUAUCCCAGUUUUUGAUGUGAUAUUAUGACCUAGUAGCUUCAGGAUCAAAAUUCUUUAAAUCGUUAUGAAAGGAAUUGAUUAAAAAAAAGUAUUUAUUGAAUUUCCUAUUUCAGUUUGGAUGAUGGAAUCUGGAAAUAAUUGCUUGAUGAAAAAGUGUAUAAUGGCUAGCUGCCUCCUUAACUCACACAGCCGGUUGAAAUUUGUCCCACCUAAAAAAGGACCUUUAAUACUUGGUGGAACAUAUUUAACCUGACAUGAUUUUUUUAUUUUAUUUAAUACACAGAUGUUAUAAAUUUAUCAUAUUUAAAAAAUGAUAUUAUUUAUAUUUAUUUAAAUAUUUUCGCGCCCAAAAAGUUUCGUAUUUUAUCAAUUCCG